CAGCAGCCACGGGAAUACGAAGGGUGCAAGCGUUACUCGGAAUUACUGGGCGUAAAGCGUGCGUAGGUGGUGGUUUAAGUCCGUUGUGAAAGCCCUGGGCUCAACCUGGGAAUUGCAGUGGAUACUGGGUCACUAGAGUGUGGUAGAGGAUAGUGAAAUUUCCGGUGUAGCAGUGAAAUGCGUAGAGAUCGGAAGGAACAUCUGUGGCGAAGGCGACUAUCUGGGCCAACACUGACACUGAGGCACGAAAGCGUGAGGAGCAAACAGGAUUAGAGACCCCUGUAGUCCUGUCUCUUAUACA
rnacentral:rRNA from 1 species